AAGUCGUAACAAGGUUUCCGUAGGUGAACCUGCGGAAGGAUCAUUAACACGUAUCCAACGUUAAACCCCCCUGUGAAUUUUAUCGCUGCUCUUGCAGACGCCGGCAAGUUUGCAAUCCCUGGUAAAUCAUUGUUGAACAGAUUUUGAUUCAGGGACCUCUAACCCCGGUAGAUCUAUAGCUGCAAUUUGAGCGCUUGUGCAAGUGGCCUGGUUUCCCCAAGCAGCUAGUGUCUGAAAGUGUCGCUGGUUGUGUAAGGAAAACGCUUUACGAUCGCUGGAGGCCGAACACCGGCCGGUGACCGGGCUGCUGUGGCUUUAUGCCCCCUAUAUUUACCCCACUACCUUAACUCGGGUCGCAGGAAACUGCUUCCCAUCAACCGAACAACUGUUAACAAUGGAUAUCUUGGUUCUCA
rnacentral:misc_RNA from 1 species